UGCCAGACUCCUACGGGAGGCAGCAGUGGGGAAUAUUGCACAAUGGGGGGAACCCUGAUGCAGCGACGCCGCGUGGGUGAAGGAGCACCUCGGUGCGUAAAGCCCUAUCGGCAGGGAAGAAACAGACGGUACCUGACUAAGAAGCCCCGGCUAACUACGUGCCAGCAGCCGCGGUAAUACGUAGGGGGCGAGCGUUGUCCGGAAUUACUGGGCGUAAAGAGAGCGUAGGCGGCACUACAAGUCUCAUGUGAAAUACCCGGGCUUAACUUGGGGGUUGCAUGGGAAACUGUAGAGCUUGAGUACAGGAGAGGCAAGCGGAAUUCCUAGUGUAGCGGUGAAAUGCAUAGAUAUUAGGAGGAACACCAGUGGCGAAGGCGGCUUACUGGACUGUAACUGACGUUGAGGCUCGAAAGCGUGGGGAGCAAACAGGAUUAGAUACCCCCGUA
rnacentral:rRNA from 1 species